rnacentral:rRNA from 1 species
CAGUCGCCGCGGUAAAACCGAGGGUGCAAGCGUUAAUCGGAAUUACUGGGCGUAAAGCGCGCGUAGGUGGUUUGUUAAGUUGGAUGUGAAAUCCCCGGGCUCAACCUGGGAACUGCAUCCAAAACUGGCAAGCUAGAGUAUGGUAGAGGGUGGUGGAAUUUCCUGUGUAGCGGUGAAAUGCGUAGAGAUCUGGAGGAAUACCGGUGGCGAAGGCGGCCCCCUGGACAAAGACUGACGCUCAGGUGCGAAAGCGUGGGGAGCAAACAGGAUUAGAUACCCGUGUAGUCCCUGUCUCUUAUAA